CCUACGGGCUGCACCAGUGGGGAAUAUUGCACAAUGGGGGAAACCCUGACGCAGCGAUGCCGCGUGGAGGAAGAAGGUUUUCGGAUUGUAAACUCCUGUUGAAGAGGACGAUAAUGACGGUACUCUUUUAGAAAGCUCCGGCUAACUACGUGCCAGCAGCCGCGGUAAUACGUAGGGAGCGAGCGUUGUCCGGAAUUACUGGGUGUAAAGGGAGCGUAGGCGGGACGGCAAGUCAGAUGUGAAAACUAUGGGCUCAACCCAUAGACUGCAUUUGAUACUGUUGUUCUUGAGUGAGGUAGAGGUAAGCGGAAUUCCUGGUGUAGCGGUGAAAUGCGUAGAGAUCAGGAGGAACAUCGGUGGCGAAGGCGGCUUACUGGGCCUUUACUGACGCUGAGGCUCGAAAGCGUGGGGAGCAAACAGGAUUAGAUACCCGCGUAGUC
rnacentral:rRNA from 1 species